rnacentral:rRNA from 1 species
UACGUAGGGUGCGAGCGUUAAUCGGAAUCACUGGGCUUAAAGCGUGUGUAGGCGGAUCGUUAAGUGUCUUGUGAAAUCCCACGGCUCACCCGUGGAACUGCUGGGCAUACUGGCGAUCUUGGGCCAACUAGGGGCAACUGGAACAAGCGGUGGAGCGGUGAAAUGCGUAGAUAUCGCUUGGAACGCCAAAGGUGAAAACAGGUUGCUGGGGUUGUGCCGACGCUGAGACACGAAAGCCAGGGGAGCAAACGGG